rnacentral:rRNA from 1 species
CCGGACAACCUCGGGAAACUGAGGCUAAUCCGGAAUACGGCUCUCAGCCUGGAAGUGGCGAGAGUCAGAAACGCUCCGGCGCCAUAGGAUGUGGCUGCGGCCGAUUAGGUAGACGGUGGGGUAACGGCCCACCGUGCCCAUAAUCGGUACGGGUUGUGAGAGCAAGAGCCCGGAGACGGUAUCUGAGACAAGAUACCGGGCCCUACGGGGGGCAGCAGGCGCGAAAUCUUUACACUGCACGAAAGUGCGAUAAGGGGACUCCAAGUGCGAGGGCAUAUAGUCCUCGCUUUUCACCACCGUAAGGAGGUGGUAGAAUAAGUGCUGGGCAAGACCGGUGCCAGCCGCCGCGGUAAUACCGGCAGCACGAGUGGUGACCGCUCUUAUUGGGCCUAAAGCGUCCGUAGCU